rnacentral:rRNA from 1 species
GGAAUUUUGGACAAUGGGCGCAAGCCUGAUCCAGCAAUGCCGCGUGAGUGGAGAAGGCCUUCGGGUUGUAAAGCUCUUUUGUCAGGGAAGAAACGAUAUCCUCUAAUACAGGGUAUUAAUGACGGUACCUGAAGAAUAAGCACCGGCUAACUACGUGCCAGCAGCCGCGGUAAUACGUAGGGUGCAAGCGUUAAUCGGAAUUACUGGGCGUAAAGCGUGCGCAGGCGGUUUUGUAAGUCUGAUGUGAAAUCCCCGGGCUCAACCUGGGAAUUGCAUUGGAGACUGCAAGGCUAGAAUCUGGCAGAGGGGGGUAGAAUUCCACGUGUAGCAGUGAAAUGCGUAGAUAUGUGGAGGAACACCGAUGGCGAAGGCAGCCCCCUGGGUCAAGAUUGACGCUCAUGCACGAAAGCGUGGGGAGCAAACAGGAUUAGAUACCCUUG